rnacentral:rRNA from 1 species
UACGAAGGGGGCGAGCGUUGUUCGGAAUUACUGGGCGUAAAGGGCGCGUAGGCGGCGACCCAAGUCAGAUGUGAAAGUCCUGGGCUUAACCUGGGGACUGCAUUUGAUACUGGGUUGCUUGAAUUCGGGAGAGGAUAGCGGAAUUCCCAGUGUAGAGGUGAAAUUCGUAGAUAUUGGGAGGAACACCAGUGGCGAAGGCGGCUCACUGGACCGGAACUGACGCUGAGGCGCGAAAGCCAGGGGAGCGAACGGG